GUGAGGAAUUUUCCGCAAUGGGCGAAAGCCUGACGGAGCAAUGCCGCGUGAAGGAUGAAGGCCUAUGGGUUGUAAACUUCUUUUCUCAGAAAAGAAUUAUGACGGUAUCUGAGGAAUAAGCAUCGGCUAACUCUGUGCCAGCAGCCGCGGUAAGACAGAGGAUGCAAGCGUUAUCCGGAAUGAUUGGGCGUAAAGCGUCUGUAGGUUGUUUAAAAAGUAUUCUGUCAAAGAUUAGGGCUUAACCCGAGAUAGGCAGAAUAAACUUUUAAGCUAGAGUUUGGUAGAGGCAGAGGGAAUGCCCGGUGGAGCGGUGAAAUGCGUAGAUAUCGGGAGGAACACCAAAGGCGAAGGCACUCUGCUGGGCCAAUACUAACACUGAGAGACGAAAGCGAGGGGAGCAAAUGGGAUUAGAAACCCUAGUAGUCC
rnacentral:rRNA from 1 species